rnacentral:rRNA from 1 species
GGUUCUGAGAGGAAGGUCCCCCACACUGGUACUGAGACACGGACCAGACUCCUACGGGAGGCAGCAGUGAGGAAUAUUGGUCAAUGGUCGGGAGGAUGAACCAGCCAAGCCGCGUGAGGGAUGAAGGUACAGAGUAUCGUAAACCUCUUUUGUCAGGGAACAAAGGCGGGGACGUGUCCCCGGAUGAGUGUACCUGAAGAAAAAGCAUCGGCUAACUCCGUGCCAGCAGCCGCGGUAAUACGGAGGAUGCGAGCGUUAUCCGGAUUUAUUGGGUUUAAAGGGUGCGCAGGCGGUCUGUUAAGUCAGCGGUCAAAGCCCGGGGCUCAACCCCGGCCCGCCGUUGAAACUGGCAGUCUCGAGUUGGAGAGAAGUAUGCGGAAUGCGCGGUGUAGCGGUGAAAUGCAUAGAUAUCGCGCAGAACUCCGAUUGCGAAGGCAGCAUGCCGGCUCCACACUGACGCUGAGGCACGAAAGCGUGGGUAUCGAACAGGAUUAGAUACCCUGGUAGUCCACGCAGUAAACGAUG